rnacentral:rRNA from 1 species
AGAACGAACGCUGGCGGCAUGCCUAACACAUGCAAGUCGAACGCUUAGGCUUCGGCCUAAGAGUGGCGCACGGGUGAGUAACGCGUGGGAACCUGCCCUGGAGUGGGGGAUAACCGAGGGAAACCUCGGCUAAUACCGCAUACGUCCCCUGGGAGCGAUCCUUGGGGAGAAAGAUUUAUCGCUCGAGGAGGGGCCCGCGUCGGAUUAGCUUGUUGGUGGGGUAACGGCCUACCAAGGCGAUGAUCCGUAGCUGGUCUGAGAGGAUGAUCAGCCACACUGGGACUGAGACACGGCCCAGACUCCUACGGGAGGCAGCAGUGGGGAAUAUUGGACAAUGGGCGCAAGCCUGAUCCAGCAAUGCCGCGUGAGUGAUGAAGGCCUUAGGGUUGUAAAGCUCUUUCGCACGCGACGAUGAUGACGGUAGCGUGAGAAGAAGCCCCGGCUAACUUCGUGCCAGCAGCCGC